rnacentral:rRNA from 1 species
GACGAACGCUGGCGGCGUGCUUAACACAUGCAAGUCGAACGGAAAGGCCCUGCUUGCAGGGUGCUCGAGUGGCGAACGGGUGAGUAACACGUGGGUGAUCUGCCCCUUACUUUGGGAUAAGCCUGGGAAACUGGGUCUAAUACUGGAUAGGACCAUGCUGUAGGUGGUGUGGUGGAAAGAUUAGUUUCGGUAAGGGGUGAGCUCGCGGCCGAUCAGCUUGUUGGUGGGGUAAUGGCCUACCAAGGCGUCGACGGGUAGCCGGCCUGAGUGGGUGGACGGCAACGUUGGGACUGCUACACGGCCCAGCCUCCUACGGGAGGCCGCAGUGGGGGAUAGUGCACCAGGGGAGCACGCCUGAUGCAGCGACGCCGCGUGGGUGAUGACGGCCUGCGGGUUGUAAACUCCUUUCAGCCAUGACGAAGCCCUUGUGGUGACGGUAGUGGCAGAAGAAGCACCGGCUAACUACGUG